rnacentral:lncRNA from 1 species
GCUCUGUUGAGCUGAGUGCAUCCAUCUCCAGGUAUGAUAAAGAAACCUGGGCACCUUCUGUUUGUUUUUCCACACUUCCCCUUCCAAACUGGCCUUUUCAAGAUAUAGGAAAGACCUCAGGACCAAGUUUGUUAUUUUUCUCUCCAGAGCUAAUUCCUUUUCCAAAAUCAGCAAGAACUGCCUCAUUACGUGCUAAGACACGGAAUCACAGCUCUGUGAGGGCCAGAGCUAUGGAAAUCGGAGGAAAUUGGACUUCACCGUGUUGGUGGCACACCCUGCCACCCUUGCCAGGAAAGGAAACGGGAAAAGGAAUCUGAGAAACCUCAGGACAAUUACAGUUCAUUUCCAUACCCUGACUGACAAUGUACUACCUCCUGCUACGGACCGACGUAAGCCUCUUGUCACACCAAGCUCUUAGGCAAAUGGAAUGGGACCAGAUGCAAGCGAUUUAAUAAGAACUUUGCAUAAGUAAUUAUUUAGUUAUUGAUUGUUGCUUGGAGCUGUAUCAUUCUGAAUGGUUCAAAAGCUUGCAUCCUAAACUAAG